UACGUAGGGGGCAAGCGUUGUCCGGAUUUAUUGGGUUUAAAGGGUGCGUAGGCGGUCUUUUAAGUCAGUGCUGAAAUACUCCAGCUUAACUGGAGGGGUGGCAUUGAUACUGGAAGACUUGAGUGCAGUCGAGGUAGGCGGAAUUGACGGUGUAGCGGUGAAAUGCUUAGAUAUCGUCAAGAACACCGAUAGUGAAGACAGCUUACUAGGCUGCAACUGACGCUGAGGCACGAAAGUGUGGGGAUCAAACAGG
rnacentral:rRNA from 1 species